UGGUCAAUGGACGCAAGUCUGAACCAGCCAUGCCGCGUGAAGGAUGAAGGUCCUCUGGAUUGUAAACUUCUUUUAUCUGGGACGAAAACGGGAUUUUUAUCUCAAUUGACGGUACCAGAGGAAUAAGCACCGGCUAACUCCGUGCCAGCAGCCGCGGUAAUACGGAGGGUGCGAGCGUUAUCCGGAUUUACUGGGUUUAAAGGGUGCGUAGGUGGGCUUAUAAGUCAGUGGUGAAAUCUCCGAGCUUAACUUGGAAACUGCCGUUGAUACUAUAGGUCUUGAAUUAUCUGGAGGUAAGCGGAAUAUGUCAUGUAGCGGUGAAAUGCUUAGAUAUGACAUAGAACACCCAUUGCGAAGGCAGCUUACUACAUAUAAAUUGACGCUGAGGCACGAAAGCGUGGGGAUCAAACA
rnacentral:rRNA from 1 species